AUUGAACGCUGGCGGCAUGCUUUACACAUGCAAGUCGAACGGUAACAGGUUAAGCUGACGAGUGGCGAACGGGUGAGUAAUGCAUCGGAACGUGCCCGAUCGUGGGGGAUAACGCAGCGAAAGCUGCGCUAAUACCGCAUACGAUCUGAGGAUGAAAGCGGGGGACCGUAAGGCCUCGCGCGAUCGGAGCGGCCGAUGUCAGAUUAGGUAGUUGGUGGGGUAAAGGCCUACCAAGCCGACGACCUGUAGCUGGUCUGAGAGGACGACCAGCCACACUGGGACUGAGACACGGCCCAGACUCCUACGGGAGGCAGCAGUGGGGAAUUUUGGACAAUGGGCGCAAGCCUGAUCCAGCAAUGCCGCGUGCAGGAAGAAGGCCUUCGGGUUGUAAACUGCUUUUGUACGGAGCGAAAAGGCUCUCUCUAAUACAGGGGGCUCAUGACGGUACCGUAAGAAUAAGCACCGGCUAACUACGUGCCAGCAGCCGCCGUAA
rnacentral:rRNA from 1 species